rnacentral:rRNA from 1 species
UCUCAGUUCGGAUUGUAGUCUGCAACUCGACUACAUGAAGCUGGAAUCGCUAGUAAUCGCGAAUCAGAAUGUCGCGGUGAAUACGUUCCCGGGUCUUGUACACACCGCCCGUCACACCAUGGGAGCCGGAAACGCCCGAAGCCAGCGGCCCAACCGCAAGGAGGGAGCUGUCGAAGGCGGGGCCGGUGACCGGGGUGAAGUCGUAACAAGGUAUC